AUGAAGCCUCAGAACAGAAACAUGGUGGCAUGAAUGAAUCCAGACACGUUCUUCUACAACUUUUAUAAUAGACCCAUCUUUUCUCAUCAGAAUACUGUCUGACUGUGCUACAAAGUGAAAAUGAAAACAAAGGACUCCUCAAGUCCCCUUUUGGUUGCAAAGAUCUUUCAAAGCCACGUCUAUUCCAAGCCUCAAUGCCACCCAGAGAUGAGAUUCCUCCAUUCAUUCUGCAAAUGGUAGCUGCAUAGUGACCAGAAGUACGAGGUCACCUGGUACGUAUUCUGGAGCUGCUGUCUAGUGUGUGCAAGGAAUGUGGCCAAGUUCUGGGCCUAGGACAGCAAGGUCACCCUGACCAUCUUCGUGGCUUGCCUCUACUAAUUCUGGGACCCACCUUACCCAGAGGAGCUUCACAGACUGUGUCAGAAAGAGACAGUUUGUAUGCCACCAUGAAGAUCAUGAAUUAUGGUGAAUUUCAACAGUGUUGGGACAAGUUCGUGUACAACCAAAGAUUGCACAAGCUUUGGAACAAACUGUCUAAACAUUAUACAUUACUGCACAUCACACUGGGGGAGGUUCUCAGACACCUGAUGGAUCCAGGCACAUUCACGUACAACUUUACCAAUGACCCAUCGGUCCUUGGACAGCACAGACCUACCUGUGUUACAAGGUGGAGUGCCAGGACAAUGGCACCUGGGUCUGGCUGGACCAGCACAGGGGCAUCAUACUCAAUGAGGCUUCAAAUAAUUCUGGUUUCCCUGAAGAUUGCCAUGCAGAGCUGUGCUUCCUGGACCUGAUUUCCUUUUGGAAGCUGGACCUGGCCCAGUGCUGCAGGGUCACCUGCUUCAUCUCCUGGAGCCCCUGCUUCAGCUGUGCCCAGGAGGUGGCUAAAUUCCAUCAAGAGAUCCCACCCAUGAGCCUGCACAUCUUCACUGCCCACAUCUAUGAUUAUUAGGGAUAUAAAAAGGGCCUGCACAGGCUGGACAGAGCUGGGGCCCCAAUUUCCAUGAUGAAAUACAAUGAAUUUAGGCACUGCUGGGACACCUAUGUGGAUCACCAGGGAUGCCCCUUCCAGCCCUGGGAUGGACUAGAUGAGCACAGCCAAGCUCUGAGUGGGAGGCUGCAGGCCAUUCUCCAGAAUCAGAGAAACUGAAGGAUAAGCUUCAGUCUCUAAGGAAGGCAGAGACCUGGGUUGAGCAGCCAAAUAAAAGAUCUUCUUCCAAGAAAUGCAAACAGGCUGUUCACCACCAUCUCCAGCUGAUCACAGACGCCAGCAAAGCAAUGCGUUCCUGACCAAGUAGAUUCUUUUAAAAAUUAGAGUGAAUUACCUUCAAUCAAAAAUUAAUGUGAUACAGUAGUAAGACUGUGCUCAAUACACUUAGAAAAGUUUCAAAUCUACUAAUCCACUGAUGAAAUGAAUUGGUUUUAUAUGUAGAGGAAUACAAUGAAAUACUAAAUAUUU